rnacentral:rRNA from 1 species
AUGGCCGGAGACCCGUCGCCGUCGCCGUCGCCGCCCGGAUCCCCCGCCAAGCACCGCCGCCGCCGGGAGCGCGACGACGCGGACCCCGCCCCCGACGCCUCCCCGAAGCGCCGCAGGCACCACCACCGCCACCACCACCGCUCCCACCGCCACCGCCGUCCGGACGACGCCCAGCCCCCGCCGCCCUCUGCGGCCGACGGAGAAGACGUCGAGGAGGGGGAGAUACUAGACGAUGCCGGCGCCGGCGCCGGCGGGGCUAUGGAAGUCGAUGGCGGCCCCCGCGGGGACGACCCCGCAUCUCCGCGAGCCGACCCGGAGCUAGUCGGUGAUCAUGCUGGCACCAACUCGGCCGUUGACGUGACGCAGCCUAGUCAUUCUCCGCCCUCAAAAGAUGAAGGCAGGUUGAAUCACACUGCUCGUGGCUCUGAAAGCGUAGGUAUCUUUUCAGGUGAUGAGGAUAAUAAUGGUAAAGGACAUGAACAGAGUCACAGGGUGUCAAAGUCUCCACGGCCGACAAAGGACAGGGGAAGGAACCAUGAGGACGAGCGUCAAACUCUGUCCUCUAAUAACGAUUCUCAUCAGAGAGAUCACACCACCAAGAGAUCUCCUUCCUCCAGGAACCACAUUGAAGAGGUUCAUUCUAGGAAUCACCCAAGGUCCGGAGAAGCUGAUGCCAAAGCUAAUGGUUCGCGGGCAAGUCCAAGGGCUGACCCUGAUCGUGACAACAACGACAGGAAUGGUUUUGGUAGGCAUGCAACUAGGACACGGGAAGACGACAGAGAAAGGAGCAGCAGUCGUGUUGUUCGUGAUGGACAUAGUGAUAGGCGUGAUAGCCGGGAAAGAUAUAUGGAUGAAAGAAGGCACAGCAGCAUAGAUAGAGACAAUGUUGAUCGUAGGCACAGAGAAAGGAGCAGCAGUCAUAGUAGACCUGACAGAAGGGAGAGCGCACACCACACUCGUGAAGAAAGCAGGGAGAGGGAAAGGCGAAGUGGUAGCUCAAGGCAUAAAGACCAUCAUAAAAGGGAUACAAGCAAGGAUCGUUAUAAAGAUUAUGUCACGGUUGCUACUGGACAUGAAAGGGAUAAAGUGAGAGAUGAUAGAGACAGGGGCCGGCACAGGGAUAGAGAAAGUGAAACUCGUAGAAGUGGAGCUGGAGAACGCAAGGACAGAAUUAGCAGUAGUGAUAGACACAAGGACUCUACACGCUCGAAAUAUAGCACGUCUGAUGCUCAUAAAGACAGGUCAAGAUCUGGGGAGAAAGGUAGAGAUGUAGACAGCAGAAGCCAUCGAUCUAGAGAAGUGAAGGAACAUUCUUUCAAGGAGGAAGAUGAAGAAGAGUAUCAAGAGAAAAUUGAGCAACAGUUAGCAAUGCAGGAAGAAGAUGACCCUGAAAAAAUUAAGGAGGAAGCGAGGAGAAGGAAAGAAGCUAUUAUGGCGAAAUAUAGGCAGCAACAAGCACAGAAGCAGCAACCGGAAUCUUUACCUAGAAGCAAUGAUGAAGAAGCAAGAGCAGUGGAUAAAGAUGAGACUGUAGAUAUGAAAGGUGAUAAUGAUAGCAAUUCUACGGACAACGAGGAAGCUGAAAAUAAGCAGGACUCUUCAGAUGCAUUUGUUGGUGAGGCAGACUUCAAUGUGGGUAAGUCCCCUGCUCAUGAUGCUGUUUUAGCCUGUGCUGAAGCAUUGGGCAAUGAGGGGACAACAGGUGUUUCAGGCCUUGGAGAGGGUACUCCAAAGAGUGAGAGAUCGGCAGAUAUGUUUUGUGAUGACAUCUUUGGAGAGUCACCUGCAGGAUUUCGGAAAUUGGGCAAGGGAGACGGCUUGUGUAUUGAGAAAAAUGCUCUGCAUGAUAAUUGGGAUGAUCCUGAGGGUUACUAUACUCAUCGAUUUGGGGAAUUGUUGGAUGGCCGUUAUGAAAUUACAGCCGCGCAUGGGAAGGGGGUGUUCUCAACAGUCGUGCGGGCAAAGGAUCUUAAAGCUGGGAAAGAUGAUCCUGAAGUAGUUGCUAUUAAAAUUAUUCGCAAGAACGAGACAAUGUAUAAGGCUGGUAAGCAAGAGGUUUCAAUAUUAGAAAAAUUGGCAAGCGCGGAUCGUGAGGACAGGCGCCACUGCGUGCGGUUCAUUUCUAGUUUCAUGUACCGGAACCAUCUUUGCUUAGUUUUUGAAUCUUUAAAUAUGAAUCUCCGUGAGGUACUAAAGAAAUUUGGUCGCAAUAUUGGGCUUAAACUGACUGCUGUGAGGGCAUAUUCAAAGCAGCUUUUCAUCGCUCUGAAGCACCUGAAAAACUGCAAAGUUCUGCACUGUGAUAUAAAGCCAGACAAUAUGCUGGUGAAUGAUGCUAAGAAUGUCCUGAAGCUAUGCGAUUUUGGCAAUGCUAUGCUUGCUGGAAUGAAUGAGGUCACGCCUUAUCUUGUCAGCCGUUUCUAUCGGGCACCUGAGAUCAUUCUUGGGUUGCCCUAUGAUCACCCAUUGGACAUCUGGUCAGUCGGCUGCUGCCUAUAUGAACUUUCUACUGGAAAGGUCCUGUUUCCAGGUGCAACUAAUAAUGAUAUGCUUCGUCUUCAUAUGGAACUGAAGGGCCCCUUCCCUAAGAAGAUGCUCCGAAAGGGUGCUUUCACGAUGCAACACUUUGACCAAGAUCUCAAUUUUAACGCUAUUGAGGAAGAUCCUGUGACCAAAAAGCCUAUGAGGAAGUUGAUUCUUAACAUCAAACUGAAGGAUUUUGGUUCUUUGGUUUCAAAUUUUCCUGGCGAGGACCCAAAAAUGCUCUCCAAUUUUAAAGACCUUCUUGAAAAAAUAUUUGUCUUAGAUCCAGAUAAGAGGAUAACCGUAUCACAGGCACUUAGCCAUCCAUUUAUCACUGGCAAGUGA